GAAGUGAUUGAGAAUUCAGGUUCUCACAGGUGUUUCUCUUUUGGGAUUGGGGAAGGGGCCAGCUCUGCUCUCAUCAAUGGGAUGGCCAAGGAAGGAGGAGGUCACGCUCAGUUCAUCACAGGGACUGACAGGAUGCAACCAAAAGUGAUGCAGUCGCUGCAGUUUGCUCUGCAGCUGACUGUGGUCGACAUCUCAGUCAUAUUGGAUUUACCAAAGGAAGUGUCUGUCACUGUCCUCUCUCCACUAAUCACAACACUUUUCCAGGGUCAGAGGUCACUGAUUUAUGCCGAGCUCACUAGGACAGCUGAGCUGGUGAGUCCAAUCACUGCUCCUCAGAUGGUCGUCAUUAACUUGAGGAACCGUGAACUGAGCAGCAGCCAACUGGACUCCAUGUCCCACCUGGUCCUCACUCUUUACCAUAACCUGGUGACGGGGUCCAAGGACUUUCCUUACAUACCUUUUAAAGGAUUGUUCCACCGGGACCAGGUGACGACACCAUUUGUCCAUGUGAGGCAGAGCCAGAGAGAGAACACCACUCCUUCUCCUCCUACGGACUCACCAGCUGGCAUGAUGCUGCCGCCUGCGGGCUCCAGCUCUCAUCCACGCUUCCUGACUCCAGUUCUUCCAGAGAAAGCGAUCUUGCUGUGCUGAAGGCAGAUCGGAGGAACUGUGUCGGCACCUUGACUGUCGACGGCCUCCUCGUCACCAGAGUCAUCUCCACUGUUUACCGAACAGAGGACACUGAGAUGACGAACCGCUGGAGAAUAACAGACUACAGCGCGGACGGCAGAGUUCUCACUUCGGUGCUCUGCCGUUUUCUAAAUAUGUCGGCAAAGCGUGCUAAGAGGAAGGCUCCGGAGGAAGAGAGCAGCAUCCGGAGCCCGACUCCAGCAAGGAAGCGCUUGAGAUUAUAAUAUACAGUGAAGCAUGUCGAACGUCAGCAAGCCUGAACAAAGUGUCAGGAAAAAGAGUCACGCUGCGAAGAAACUCCACACAGAAGAUGUUCCCUCAGUAAAAUGACAACUGAGGGUCUUCAGAGCAGCGUGAACGGCCGUCACCUGAGAGAAGACAGUCCUGGCGCCUUUGUGGUUCCCUCCAGACUGACCUGUCCAGGUUGUACUCCUGCCUCUGGCCCCAUAACAGCUGGGAUGGCUCCAAUCUUGAAUUGGAUAAGCUGAAGAAAUGGAUGGAAGGAUGAUCCAAAGAGAAACAUGAAAGGCCCUCUCACAAAAAAAAGAUAAGAACUCAUUUUACACAUUGUUGAAACAUCCUGAAAGUUAUUUGUUGUGUUUAGAAACUGGUUGAACUGUCAUUAGAGUUUGUUUCGACUUGUUGUUCAUUUCUUAUUCGGUUCAGCUGUGUUUCUAUGUGUCCUUAGUUCCCAUAAUCAGCCUCCUGUGUGUAAAUAUUGUGUCAGUCUCCCUUUGUCCCUUGUCAGAGUGUUAGUCUCCGUCCCCUCGUGUUUCCUUGCCUCAGUAGUUCUGUUUCCUAUAGUUUUCCCCCAGUAUAGGUUUUGGUUUGACUUUUUCAGUUCCCUUUGUCAGUCUUUGUAUUUAGUAUUUCUUCAUCAGUCUCAUCACUUUCCUCUGCAGAGAGAAAACAAUAAAAAGACCUGAAGAGGUCUUUUUAUUGUUUUCACCAAAUAACACCAAAUGAGAGUGAAUCACUUCAGAACAACAGGAACACUCCUGGUUAUUGUGAGCAAACGUCAUAACAAGAUGAAUAUAUUUACCAUUUUACUGAGGGAACAUCUUCUGUGUGGAGUUUCUUCUCAUCUUGGCUCUUUUUCCUGACAUUUAGAAACAAGAGGCAGAAAAGAAAGAAUAAAAGUUAAAACCUCAACGAUUUUUUAAUGUUUGGGAUAUUUUAGAAACAACCGUAAACACUAUUUACUACUUACCACUUUGUUCAUUCUUGCUGACGUUCACUCUCCUCAUCUUCUCUCUAAAGGAAGAUGCAAACGCUCUCAUUGUGAAAGAUAAGUAUACAUCCAUCUAACCUGCGACUCUGUCACAACUCUGAUCAGCAAUUCUUUCAGGUUUGUCUGUUUUGAUGAUGCUAUUAAUUGUUAUUAUCCUUUAUCCAGGUAACUUUCAGAGAGGAGCGGAGGGAGGAGCGAAGCCAGCGUGCUCUGUAAACUCUCAUUAAAAAAAAGAUAAGUACAUAUUGAUUUUAUAUUAUUAUGACAGCUCCUCCUCAGUGAACACUUCCUCUAGUUGCUGAAAUCAUUUACUAAUUUUUUUCUUCCCAUUUGUCUUUUGUUUUUCAGAGAAAACAGAGAGGAGACAAGGUGACAUUAAGACCUAAGACAGGACGGAUUGAACCCUUUCUCGUAAAAAGAUAAGUAUUCACUCUGCUUUUAAUCAGAAUAUUGAUAAAUAUCUAAAAUUCUGCUCACCUGGUUGAUAAAGUUACUAAAAUGAUUCCCUCUUUUCUGUCAUUUGUCCUUUAGAGAGAAGAUGAGGAGAGUGAACGUCAGCAAGAAUGAACAAAGUGGAAAAAGAGCCAAGAUGAGAAGAAACUCCACACAGAAGAUGUUCCCUCAGUAAAAUGGAGAGGAGCAGCAACGACACUGGGAGACAAACAACAGGAUGAUCCAAAGACAACUGAGGGUCUUCAGAGCAGCGUGAACGGCCGUCACCUGAGAGAAGACAGUCCUGGCGCCUUUGUGGUUCCCUCCAGACUGACCUGUCCAGGUUGUACUCCUGCCUCUGGCCCCAUAACAGCUGGGACGGCUCCAAUCUUGAAUUGGAUAAGCUGAAGAAAUGGAUGGAAGGAUGAUCCAAAGAGAAACAUCAAAGGCCCUCUCAC